rnacentral:rRNA from 1 species
GAAAGUGCCUAAAGACGAGCUCGCGCCUGAUUAGCUAGUUGGUGGGGUAAAGGCCUACCAAGGCGACGAUCAGUAGCUGGUUUGAGAGAAUGAUCAGCCACACUGGAACUGAGACACGGUCCAGACUCCUGCGGGAGGCAGCAGUGGGGAAUUUUCCGCAAUGGGCGAAAGCCUGACGGAGCAAUACCGCGUGAGGGAUUAAGGCCUGUGGGUUGUAAACCUCUUUUCUCAAGGAAGAAUCAAUGACGGUACUUGAGGAAUAAGCAUCGGCUAACUCCGUGCCAGCAGCCGCGGUAAUACGGGGGAUGCAAGCGUUAUCCGGAAUUAUUGGGCGUAAAGCGUCUGUAGGUUGUUUAAUAAGUCUGUUGUUAAAGACUGGGGCUUAACCCCAGGAAAGCAAUAGAAACUGUUAGGCUAGAGUGUGGUAGAGGUAGAGGGAAUUCCUAGUGUAGCGGUGAAAUGCGUAGAUAUUAGGAAGAACACCGGUGGCGAAAGCGCUCUGCUGGGCCAUAACUGACACUCAGAGACGAAAGCUAGGGUAGCAAAUGGGAUUAGAUACCCCAGUAGUCCUAGCCGUAAACGAUGGAUACUAGAUGUUGCGUAACUCGAUUAUGCAGUGUUGUAGCUAACGCGUUAAGUAUCCCGCCUGGGGAGUACACUCGCAAGGGUGAAACUCAAAGGAAUUGACGGGGGCCCGCACAAGCGGUGGAGCAUGUGGUUUAAUUUGAUGCAACGCGAAGAACCUUACCAAGGCUUGACAUGUCACGAAUCUUUUUGAGAAGAAAGAGUGCCCUCGGGAACGUGAACACAGGUGGUGUAUGGCUGUCGUCAGCUCGUGUCGUGAGAUGUUGGGUUAAGUCCCGCAACGAGCGCAACCCUUGUCUUUAGUUACCAUCAUUUAGUUGGGGACUCUAGAGAGACUGCCGGUGACAAACCGGAGGAAGGUGAGGACGACGUCAAGUCAGCAUGCCCCUUAUGCCUUGGGCUACACACGUGCUACAAUGGCUAAGACAAAGAGCAGCAAGCUUGUGAAAGUUAGCAAAUCUCGUAAACUU